rnacentral:tmRNA from 1 species
GCCGGCAGCGCAACAGGCGAGAUAACUAAGGCCGACUACGCACGUAGUAUAUUUAGGUAGAACCGGUCUCGGACGCGGGUUCGAUUCCCGCCGCCUCCACCA